AACCAUGUCCAGGCUAUAAAACUGUCUUGAUACCUUGUUUUACAUGGAUUUACAUACUCAGAGUCACACUACAUACACACACACACACACACACACACACUCUUUUUUUAUAAAGGGGUAGGGCAACAACUAAAGGUGAGAAGGAGAGCAAUCUAUUGAAUUUUCAAGACAGGAAGGACAACUCAUAAAGGCUGAAACCAGGCUCCCUCUUGGUGCUGUUAGUGCCAUUUGGGAGAAGAACCUUUCCCCAGGUAGGUCAAAGUGUUACAAACUGACCUGACCUUCUGGCACAGUUGCUUCAGAACAGUGUUGUAUGGCACAGAAGGAAACCUGUGUGUUACUUGCUGUGAUCUCAUUCGUCCUAUGGCCAGCCAAGUCAGCCUUCCUUAUGGUAGAAGGUAGUGAUAGCUUUUUCUCUGUAUUUACCUUGACACAUUUUUUUCCCUGUCAAGUUGUGAGAAUUUUUCCUUUUAAAAAUUAAAAAAAAAAAAUUUUAAUUUUUUGUCUUGCCUCUACUUGGACUAGGCUAGACUUCCUCUCUAUUGAGGGAAGAAACUGACCCUCAAUAUUUACUCUUUUCCCUCCAGUUUAUUAUAAAAUAAGUGUGUUUGUUUGUUUGUUUGUUUGUUUAUUUAUUUAUUUUGACAGGCAGAGUGGACAGUGAGAGAGAGAGACAGAGAGAAAGGUCUUCCUUUGCCGUUGGUUCACCCUCCAAUGGCCGCCGCAGUCCGCGUGCUGUGGCCGGCACACCGCGCUGAUCCGAUGGCAGGAGCCAGGUGCUUCUCCUGGUCUCCCAUGUGGGUGCAGGGCCCAAGGACUUGGGCCAUCCUCCACUGCACUCCUGGGCCACAGCAGAGAGCUGGCCUGGAAGAGGGGCAACCGGGACAGAAUCCGGCUCCCCGACUGGGACUAGAACCCAGUGUGCUGGCGCCGCAAGGCGGAGGAUUAGCCUGUUGAGCCAUGGCACCGGCCAAGUGUGUUUCUUAUAAUAGUGUUCAUUUUGUGCAGAAUCUUUCUUUGUAAGGUCUUACAAUGGUGAUUUUACUGCCCACAGGAUGACAUGAGCAGAAUCAGCGUGCCCACACAAAUAAAUCUUAUAGCUGCUACAGACUGAAUUGUGUCUCCCCUCCCAAUUCAUAUGUUGAAACUCUAACCCAUAAUAUGAUGAGGCCUUUAUGACAUAAAGUUCCAUGAAGUCAUAAAGGUGGUAAGCCUUGUAAGAGGAAGCGUGUCCUCUCUCCCUCUCUACCUCUUCCUGUCUCCCUCCCUUCCUGCCCUUCUCCUUUGAUCCCUCCUACCUCAUGUGAGCAAAUAGAAAAAGGUCUUCAAGCCUUCCAGGACAAGAGUCCUCAGAAUGAAUCCUACCCUGCUGGCACCUUCACCUUGGACUUCUCAGUCUCUAGAACGAUAUUCCUGAGUUGCUGAAUUCCAGCUUCAUUCCAUUGUGGUCUGAGAAGAUGGAAAUACUGGGAAACUUCAGAAGGCUUUCUUAUGCAAACUUAUCCUUGGGACCUGCAUUCAUACCACAGCAUAUAAAACCAUGCUUCUUAGUGGUCGAAGUGCUGGUUUCUAUUAUAGACUUUACAAGUGGCUUACUCAGGUAUUCCCAAAAGUCUGUUUCAUCCUGCCAUGAAGAUUAAUAUUGUAAGAACUCAAAGCACUCUUCAAAUAUUAAUUAACCAAGCCUGUAUAGCAACUUCUCUGAGGCAGGAUGAUUUACUCAGCUUCCCGAAUGAGACAAUCAGAGCAAGUGAUUCAUUUGCGAGGGGCCAGGAUGAGCUUGCAUACAGUUUGGAAGAGAAUAUUGCAUGUUUUUUUUUUUUUUAAUGGUGUUUCUAAGAUGUAAUGCUGCUUCUCAGAUGUGCUCUAUUCAGAUUUUGUUUAAUGAUGUCUCAUGGCUCAAGAUUAUUGCUGGAUGUGCUAAUAAAAGUGUCAGAUAUUCAAAUGUUUUUUUCCCCUUUUCCAAGAUAAGGAAUAUGAAGAUAGAAUGUACUGGGUCUGUGAAGAUUCAGUCAAAUGAUGAUUUUCUGAUGAUCUUAGUACUAUCUUGCAAAUUAUUUUAUUGUUUACCUUUGAGCUCAAUUGGGGUCAACGUUUUAAUUCUUAGCAUGCUCCCUAGGUGACAGACUGAGGAAGGUCUUGUAUGAAAAGGAAAACAAUGAGUAAAGGAAAUUUUAUGUCUAAGAAAAAUUAAGAGAUCACAGCAGGUAUUAAAAAAAGGAUAGCUUGUUCCACCUACAAGCGUGGGAUCUGCAAUCAUUCCUAUCAUAAUUUGGUGGUCCUAGGAUGAAAAUACUGCUCAGUAAUUGCUGGAUUGACCCCUCCUGUUCUUGCCCAGUGGCAUUAUCUAGCAGACAGUAUUUAUCAAAGGAGCUGCUGGAAUUUCUCUGAAGUUCCCCCAAAGCAGCAGGAAGAACACAGUCUGUGAAGCAAAACCUGACUUCAUGUUUUGAUUGUACCAUUUAUUGGCUGAGUAACCUUGAAAAUGACCUAAUGUCUCAUAGCCUUGGUUGCUAUUUUGGUAAAAUGGUAUAGCUUAUGAUAUUUGCUAGAGUAGAUGCUGUUGGCAUCAUGCCUGGGUAGGUCUGCACUACCACCAGCUGCUGAAAAGACUGGGUGCUAAGGGUCCAUGGCUGUGCUUCUGAAAAUGCCCUUGCCAGGUGGGAGACAGCUCACCCAAAAUGCUCAGAAGGUGGUAUUUCCUGCUUCCAGCGACAGAUCCAGAGGUAGUAACUGACUGGCCUCUUGUCUUAGUGAGGGACAGUUCUGUGAUACUGAUCCACUUCACUGCUCCCUGUGGGAUUAAGCUGAUUUAACUGAAACUACAUCUUUGCUUGGCUUCUAGGAUGUCUUGAAUCCUUCAUUUUCUGUAUGUUUCUCCUCAGAUCCCUACUUCUGCAAGUUAUUUACUGUGCCCCACUUCUAUGCAACCUGGCCUCAGAUGCUUAGCCUUCUUCAUAAGGUUAGAAUUUUUUGUGCAGUGUUUAACAGAAGGGAUGAUAGUGCAUAUGCCUUAAGUCGUUCACAAUAACUAUGGCUUUCUCACAAUUGCUUAAGUACAUCUGAAAGUUUGGAGUAUCUUGCACCUUGAAAAGACCCUGCUAAAUUCAUGUUAGACUAUAUUUACCACUUACUUGCGGUCAGUGUUUAUCAACAAAUUUGUUUUUUUAGAAAAUAAGGCAAAUGGAAAAUAAUAAUUAUUGAAGAGCUAAAGACAAGAAUAUAACUGGGCAUGUCUUAGAAGGCAUUGCACAGAGUACCAGACCACUGGGACACUGGGACAGUACAGAGCCCUGGGCGGUGGCUGUGAGGAGUCAUCUGGGAUGUGACAGGUGGUGUGGCUGCAGGACAAAGGCUUCCUUUUGUUUCACAAAUUUCCUUCUCAGUAUUUUUCUUGUUCACUAUCUCUAAAGUCUGGAAAUGCUAGAGAGGCUUAUCCAAGGCUGCAAGAAGGCAAAAGAGAGAGUCUGAGAAACCUAGUUGUCAUCUGCACAGAGAGAUGGAAAGAUGGCUGAGUACAAGUAGAGAUGACAAUGUAAACAUCUCAAUGAGAUACCACUUACUUAGUCCAGCAUCACAAACUUUAAGAGACAUAAGAAAAGUAGUUAAUGUUUAAAUAACCACAAGAGCUCAUUCAAAGAUUCUGUCUUGAGGAAGAGGUAAAAGGUUUAGAAUUCUAUCCACUCACCCUUUGUAUCUGAGGUAGUAUAUCUUCUCAAGUCUCUGGCUUUAAGAAAACUUUGAAAAUACAGCUAGAUUCCCCAAAAGUGUCAGUGUACAAUCAGCAAAUCAUAGUGAUCUCUUAAAACUGAUUUAUAAAUUUGUAGAUUUUGCUUUUUACUUUGGACAUCACAGCCAAUCUUUUUUAUUACAAAAAAGGGAUGCCAUGAGACACUGUGAGACUUUUUGAAAUAAGCAAAAGAAUAAUGUGUAACACCAAAAUAUACCUUAAUGUUAAAAACAAACAAAUUAAGGCGAGAGAUGAAUUAGUUGCAAUUUAUCCUAUUAGUCUGGUUUAUUAUUAAGACUCUGAUUUGAAGUACUUAAAAUAAAAAUAAUUUAUGCUGUGAAGGACUUGGGAAAAUUCCAAGAAAACGUUGGGCGAAUACUGUUCAUUGUUAUUGGGAUCGAGUUGCCUCCUUAUUAUUUCCUGUUGAUGACAAGCCUGCAUGUACUUUUUGUUUUAGCACUUCUCUGGAUGAAACCCUUUGUUAAUAUAAGAGAUAAUUUACAAUGCAGCUUAAAUUUUUAAAAACAUAUUUUAAAAUGUGACUUCUGGCAUUUAAUAAUAUAUAUUGAAAAUAUUUGAUACUUAUAUUUUUUCCACCUGUUGGGAACUUGAGUCAUUUGUAGUACCUAAAAUUAUGGGAGAAAACAAAGUGAUUAUACUUUAGUCUUGCUGUUUUAUUACAUUUCAUAAAGUGUAAAGAUUUCAAAAUACAUAAAUUAUUGAACAGCUAGACAUAGUUUUGUAUAUAUUACUUUCAUGCCAAUGGACAUCUAAGAAGUGCUAUACUGACUAGAUAAAUUGACCAUCAUUUUCUUAAAGAAGGUGCUCAUAUGCUUUCAACAUAUGCCAGCAUGUUUUAGAAAAAAUCUAGUAUAUGAGAAAUGGCUGCCAAAAGCUGAAGGUGCCGUGAGACCAAAGAAUGGACAAAUCCAAGAAUACACAGAAUGUAAUUUACUGAUGUGACUUACAGAUAGCAAUCUGGCCUCAGGCGACUGUGAGACAUAUGGAUCACUGUGCCCUAGCCAAUAGAAAAAGGCUUGUAUGGACAAAAUCCUAAUUAGAAUGCAUCCAGACUUUCUCAAGAAAUGCUAACUUCCCAGACAUUAGAUAAGGGACAUUCUAAGGUCUUGCCCAGCAAAGCAAUCUCAACAAGUUAUCUUGUGACUUUGUUUCAAAUAAGGUUUGGGAUGACCUCCAGGGUCACCUCAAGGAUAAGAAAGCUAUUACUUGUAAGAUGGCUGUUAUCGUGUCAAGCUUUAUAUAUUCCCAACAGAUGAAUCUGGGUGGCAUUGUCCCUGCUCUUUCUGCAGCCUUAAUUGUUUUGCGUGGAACACACCUGUAUAGCACCAACCUCUUAGGUAAGUUGAGCUCUUUGUUUACCCAAAGGCUGACGGUUGGAAAGGGCAAGGAAUAAUCUAGUGCCUGGCAUUGACUAUGCCAAACUGUGACCUUGACAGUGAGGAGAGAGGCAAGAGAAGCACAAAAACAACAGAACAACUGGGACUUCAUCUUUAAGCCUUUAGUGAGGCUGGUUGCCCUGAACAUAAGCCCAGUCUUAAUUGGCCAAAUCUCCAAUCUUUUAGUCAUCAGAUAGAAGGUGUUGCAUAUUUGUAUAUAUUCAGUUUAAUAAGACUGUGCUCUUUUGAAAAUUGCUAUCUCAAAUGACUUAAAUAAAUGUUUUGACAUUUAAAGAGCUAAAGUUCAGUUCAGUUGAAUACCACAUGGCCUGAGAAAAAGAUAAUUACCAUAUACUGUAGCAGUGUUACAAAUGCUAUCCACAGUGUGCAAAACUUUUUAAAGUUUUCUAUUCUCGUUUUAUUUGAAAGAUAUAUAGUGUGUGUGUGUGUGUGUGUGUGUGUGUACAGUUGGGGGAUGAUAGAGAAAAAUCCCUCAUCUGCUAAUUGCCUCUCCGAAUGUCCAUAACAAUCAGGAAUGGGCAAGGCUAGAGCCUAGAGCCCAGAAAUAGAUCUGGGCCUCCCAUGUGGGUAGCAGGGUUCCAAACUUGAGCCAUCAUUUGCUGCCUCCAAAGAUGUACAUCGGCAGGAAACUGCAAGGAAAGCAGAGGAGCCAAGACUGGCACCAACCACUACGAUGUGAGAUGUGGAUGCUCCAAGAGGUGACCUAGUUGAUGUGCCAAAUGGCCCCCAAACCUUUUUCUUGUCCAGAAAAUAACUGUUGGCUUUUCCACAUCUCUAAAUCACACACACCCUUUAUUCAGCAUUAUUUUUCUUAGUCCUUUAGAGGCAAACCAUGGGUAAACAACGACAAAAAAGUCCAAAAUAAAGGUUACAUUUGGUUAAUUAAGAUAGGAUUAAGUUUAAAACCAUUGAAAUAUUUUCUUCAGAAUUUACUGUUUAUACAAAAUGAUUUAACAAAACCUCCCCGGUUCUAUUUUUGGCUAGAUACUAACUAAUUAUCAUUAUACUUAUAUGAGAACUAAGCUUUGCCACUUCCUAAGUAAGAGUUAUUAAAAUGAAAAUCUAAGAAAUGAAAAGGAGGGGGACAUAUUCACACACUAGCCACUUACUAAAGCAGUGUUUCUCAAGGGCAGGGAGUAAAAUCCUAUGUGGGGAUGACAGGCUGAUAGGAGGCAUUUUCAGCUGGAACACACUGAAAUUUUCAAAGUACACUGACCAGGGAACACCCUUUUUUGCCUCCCUGUGACUCCCUAAACAAGAACCAUAAGAUAAACUGGAAUCGGCAGUAAGAGGACAUUGCCAGGAAAUGUCCAUUUUGAAACACAGUAUUUCAUAGUUAAUAAAACAUCAGCCAAAGGGAACUACAUUUCUGAUUGGUGAUUCAGAUUUGUGUCUCGUUUACCCUCUGAUUCACCUGCUUGAAAUGGGCUUCUCCAGUGGUUUUCAGCUGGAAGGAGAAGGGUUGGAAGAAGAUGAAUCCCUACAGCUUUAUUCCUCCAUAAUUGUUAUUGAAUAGCAAAUUCCUAGCAUACUAGUCCACGAAGCAUGGCUUUAAUGUUGUACAAGCAUCGCUUACUAUAUGGUCACACAUAUAACAUGAUAUAGGUAUUUUUACUCUUCUUUAAAAAUGGAAUCUAAAGCUCAGAAAGCUAACAGACCUAAGGCCACACAGCAUGCUGGAUGGCAGCAUAGGGACAAAAAAGUUUGUCUCUACAAAAUAAUUACUGUUCAUCAGAAAAAAACAGCUAAGCCUAAACUAUUCUUUACUGAAAUUUUUGUUGAUAGUGGUAAAAAAUUCCCAUCAGCUUGUGAAAAGAAAUUGUGUAUCAAUUAAUAUGUGAGGUACUGAGUGGUGGUAUGCACUGGUUUAUUCCCACCAGCUCAAAAUCCUGAAAGAUCAUUGAAAUGCAUUCCAUUAUUGUUGCCCCAUUCUGUGGCAGCACUAUUAUUAUUAUGGUUUAUACAGGGGUAGAAUGGAUAGAUAAUUGGAAAAUAUUAAUUUUAUCUAAUGAAUUAACAACUUAGAAAUUAGUUUUUCUUUUAUAAGAUGAAACUUACUAACAUAUUCAUGCAGUAUAUGGCAUUCAUCAUUGCUUAUUCUUCAUCUCAUAUUGAUUUCCAUUUAGUUGUAAUCAUAUUUUAUUUGAGAAAUAUUUAUUGUGUACUGCUAUGGGUGAGGCAUUACUGGAGCUGAUUGGAUUCCUAUACGAAGAAAACCCAGCCUCUGCUUUGAAUCAUUUGCAUCCUCAUGGAAGUAGAAUAAAAAGUAAAAUGGUUAAGUGCAGGGAACUGGACACAUGCUCUACAUGCCUUCAUUAAGAAGGUGUUGUAUUUGAAUUAUAAAUUUAACUGGCACAUUGAGGUAAUUUUCAAAUACAUUAGGUAAACAGAACAUUUUAAUUAACUAGAAAAUUUAUUUCUCUUCUGGCAGUGUUGAGUAAAAAGGGAUCAAAGUAAAUAUUAUGAUGUGCUCUCUUAUUUAUUCAUAUUUUUGUGCAGGAAAUUUUCUAUGGUAAUUAUCGUUGAGUAUGCUUAAACUCUCUUUAGAGUUUUGGGGGCUGGUAAUGUGGCGUAGUAGGUUAGGCUGCCACCUGUGAGGCUGGCAACCCAUAUGGCUGCUAGUUGGAGUCCCAGCUGCUCCACUUCUAAUCCAGUUCCCUGCUAAGGAGCCUGGGAGACCAGCAAAUGAUGGGCCAAAUUCUUGGGCCCCUGCACCUACAUGGGAGAUCUGGAAGAAGAACCUAGCUUUGGCUUGAUUGAACCCCAGCCGUUGUGGCCAUUUGGAGAGUGAACCAGUAACUGGAAGAUUUUUCUCUCUUUCUCUCCUUCCCUAACUCUGACUUUCAAAUAAAAUAAAUAAAAUCUUUCUUAAAAACAGGAUUUUCAUCCACUAAGAUGGGUGAAAUGUCAUAAAAGUAGAUUUAUUAAAUCAGGAGUCUAUUUUUGGAAAUGCUAGGUUCAUGAUGAAAUGCUUAGCUUAGAUGGGUUGUCUAGUAAUCAAUUCAAUUAAUGAGUUUGAUGUCUUUGAGGAACUCUGGGUUAGUGAAACAAAGUUAGAACAUUAUUUUAAAAUCAUAGAGUAAGUAUAUACAGAGCAGAGAAGAUAUGGGAAGAAAAAAGUAGAGGUACGAGGACUAAGUAAGUAUCAAUGGUCAGGAUUCACGAGAGAGGGAGAGGAACUGGAAAAGAACAUUGAGAAGGAGAUCCAGGGGGCAGAAAGCAAGCCCACAAAUGGCUAGCUGAAAGAAAAGUGGUGGAAUCCUUUAAGCAUAGAGGGAGUGGUUAAUCAUAUCAACUUCUGGUGUUUGCUUGAGUAAUAUGAGUUUUGACCAGUGGAUUCAUGAGUAACUUGUGUAAGAAGGAUUUUAGUGCAGUGAGGUGAAGCUCAAACUGGGACGAAUUCAAGAGGGAAUGGGAAAUGAGAAACUUUAGCAGAGAAAAUAACCAACACUUUUGGGUCCUGUAUGUUCUUCCAUUAAGGCUUCAAUGAUUAUAGUAAGAAUGAUUUUAGUGGAUUUACACUAAAGUGUAACAAAAGCAGACAUUUUAGAAAUGGGAACAGACCAGAUGGGUACUGUCUACUCAUUUGGAGAUCCAUUUUAAUUCCAUUGAGCUCAGUUAUGACUCUGUAGUAAUGAGUCUUAAAAUACACAUUUCAUGAAAAUCGUAUCAAGGUGAAAAUAUGUUUUACAUAUAUUUUAUAUGAUGGAAACCUAUUGUGAUGUUUCUUUACAAUCUAGUUAUAGCACAUUUUAUAAUUCCUUAUAAUACAACAAUAAUCUGAGAGGCAGUGUAGCUUAAUAGUGGUUAAAGCAUAACAAUGCAGGAGUUCAAAUCUCAGCUCAGCUUUUGUGGGCUCUGUGACCUUGAUUAGAUGUGAACCUAAGGUUUCUCAUUGGUAAAUGCAGAAAACAAUACUGUCAACCUCAUGGUGUGGUCUCAGAGGCUGAAUGAAUUAAUACAGUAAUAUAUUGACAAACAAAUCAGGAAAGUGGUAUGUAAGAAAUGAUAUAUGAUUGUAAUUACCAUUAAUCAGUAAGUUUUAAAGAAUGAUUCCUGACAAGUAGGUAAGGUUCCACAAGAUUUGAAAUAGAAGUGAACUGAUUUCAGUGUUGUGUUUAACAUAUUUAAGUGUUAUAUUCUGAAUAUAAAUCCCUUUUUUCCUUUUGAUUAUAGAACCAUCUUCACAGCUAGAGAUUACAUUUACCAUUUUCAGUGUAAUUAAGUACAAUUAUUUUUUUUCUCUGCUAUGUGACUAAAUUCUUGAAUAAGAGAUAUGAGCAAAGCCUUUCCAUUAAAAUAACAGGACAGAUGCAUUCCUCUUUAUUUUUAUGGUCCCUUUUCAGGAAUUGAAUAUGAAAUACCAUGCUGAUGAUCAGCCUGGACCAGGCUGAGAAAACCAUUAUUUUAAGACAGGGAAAUAGUUAGAAAUGCUUUUUUUAGUUCUCACCCUUGAAUCAGAAACUCCAGGGCUGAUCCCAUCAAUCUGUUUUGACUUGCUUCUGAUGAACAUGAAGUUUGGGAAUCAAUUUCUUAGGGAACCACAGAAGAGCAAGGUAAAAGUCCCCUGAGUGUCUGGGUGACCUUUUGUAGACUGCCCAUUCAUUCAUUUUUGUUGUUAAGGGUUUAUUUACUUAUUGAAAGAGUUACAGAGAAGGAGAGAGAGAGGGAGAGACAGAGACAUCAUCUAUCUGCUGGUUCACUCCCCAGAUGGUUGCAACGGCUGGGCCAGGACAAAGCCAGGAGCUUCUUCCUGGUCUCCCACAUGGGUAGCAGGGACCCAAGCACUUGGGCCAUCUUCUGCGGCUUUUCCCAGGUUUAUCUAACUGGGAGCUGAAUCAGAAAUGGAGCUGCCAUGAACUGGCACCCAUAUGGAUGCCAGCAUUGCAGGCAGUAGCUUUAUGUUGAUCAAUGAAUUUCUAUUUUCUUUGAGCUACUGGAUUUUUGCACUUUUUUUUCAGCAUUUAGCAGCACUCUAAAGCCAUAGUGUACCUUUUCGCUUCUCAGUUUAUAACCAGAUAUCUUUAAUGGGGAAAAAAAAAUUCCUCAAAGAGCUACUAAUAACCAAACACUCUUUACAGAGGAAAGGGAAAAAUUGACUGGCUUUCAAUUUGCUGCACCUAUUAUGUGCAGCAAAUUGAAAUCAAAAACACCGAUUAUACAUACUCACAUACAGACUCACAUUCCAUGUAAUUUUUUCAGUCACAAAAAAACCCUUCUUAGAAAUAAUUAGUAAUUCAGAGGUAAAUCACAAUCAGAAUGAUACUCACUUAAACGUAAAUGAUUUUGCAAUUCAUCAUAUUCUAAAACGAAAAGUCACAUUCUUAUUUAUUUGCUAGCAUGCAAUUUAAAAUUACAAUAAAUAUUUCAUAAGAUCAUAUUAUGCUUCAGAAACUGCAAAGGGAAGUAGAAAAACAAAGAUGAUUAAGAGAUAAAAACUGCCCUAAAUUAGCUUACAGUCUCAUGAGAUAAUAGCAGUUGUUUUGCUAGAAGCACAUUAGGAGUUACUUGGUUCACAAUAACUGCCUUAACCCAUUUUUUUAAACACUGUAUUGCGUAUAUUUAAGGCAUGCAGCAUAAUCUUAUGGGAUCCAUAUUGAGAGUAAAAUGGUUACUAUAGUGAAGUAAAUUAAAAUAUCCUUCAUCUCACAUAGUUACCUAUUUGGGUAUGUGUUUUUUUGUCUGUGUGUUUGUGUGUGUGUGUGACAAGUAGUUAAUAUCUACUCAUUUGGAAGGAAUUUCAGAUACAGUGCAGCUUAAUUACCUGUAGUCUUAACGCUGUACAUUGGAUCUCUAAAUUUGUUCAUUUUGUGUAUCUGCUACUUUGUAUCUUCUGACCUAUAUCUACCCACUUCUUCCUCACCCUCUCCUACCCUUUGUAACUUCUAUUUUAUUCUAUCAUUCUAUAUAUUUGGGUUUUUAAAAACCCAUAUGUAAGUGAGAUCAUGUAAUAGUUUUCUUUCUGUUUGGCUCAUUUAGCACAAUGUCCUCCGGUUCUAUCCAUGUUGUGGUACAUGGCAGGAUCUCCUUUUUUGUAAGGUUGAGUAGCAUUCCAUAAACAGGAAUUGUUGGGUUGUAUGGUAGUACACUAAUGCUACAUUUUUGCAUAAUUAUUUCUUUAUCUUACAGUUAAUGUUGAUUAAAUUGUUUAUUGAUAUUAUUUACAUGUUAUAAAAUAUCUUCAUUUUCAGCAUAAAUUUCUUUGCUGAAAGUGAUGUAUAAGGAUGUGGGGUAAAAUAAAGGGGAGAGAGAUCCAACAUGGGAAGUGAGAUACUCAGCAGACUCAUAGAAUGGCAGAUGUCCUAAAUAGCACUCUGGCCUCAGAAUCAGCCCUAAAGGCAUUCGGAUCUGGCUGAAAAGCCCAUGAGAGUAUUUCAGGCAUGGAAAGCCAAGACACUCUGGCAAAAGAUCUCUGUGAGUGAGAUCCCAGUGGAAAGAACAGGUCAUCAAAGAAGGAGGUACCUUUCUCUGAAGGGAGGAGAGAACCUCCACUUUGACUAUGACCUUGUCUAAACAAGAUAAGAGUCGGAGAACUCAGAGGGCUUCCAUAGCCUUGGAAACUCAUGACUGGAGCAUAGGGAGAUUACUGAUGCCAUAGACAGGAGUGUCAAUUGGUAAAGUCAACAACAGGAGUCACUGUGCACUUACUCCUCAUGUAGGAUCUCUAUCCUUAAUGUGCUGAACAUUGAGACUUAAUGCUAUAACGAGUACUCAAACAAUAUAUUUCACUUUGUGUUUCUAUGGGGGUGCAAACUGUUGAAAUCCUUACUUAAUGCAUACUAAACUGAUCCUCUGUAAAAAAAAAAAAAAAAGAAAUUAUCAAUUCCCAACUUGACUCUCACUGGGAUUAAACAUGACAAUAGGUCUGAUCUGAUUUCAUCAUCAUUUAAAAAAAAAAUCAUCUAUUAUUUUUCACUUUAUGUUUCUGUGUGGGAGCAAACUGUUGAAAUCCAUACUUAAUGUAUACUAAGCUGAUCUUCUGUAUAUUAAAAUAAUCGAAAAUGAAUCUUGAUGUGAA